GGCUGCAACUCGCCUACAUGAAGUCGGAGUUGCUAGUAAUCGCGGAUCAGAAUGCCGCGGUGAAUGCGUUCCCGGGUCUUGUACACACCGCCCGUCACACCAUGGAAGUUGGGGGCGCCCGAAGUUGGUCGGGAAAUAGAUUACUUAAGGCGAAACCAAUGACUGGGGUGAAGUCGUAACAAGGUAGC
rnacentral:rRNA from 1 species